GACAGAGGGGGCGAGCGUUGUCCGGAGUCACUGGGCGUAAAGCGCGCGCAGGCGGUCGCUCAAGUGUCGUGUGAAAGCCCCCGGCUCAACCGGGGGAGGCCAUGGUAAACUCGGCGACUGGAGCGGCGAAGAGGUACCUCGAAUUGCCGGUGUAGCGGUGAAAUGCGUAGAGAUCGGCAGGAAGACCAUGGGGGAAGCCAGGGGGCUGUCCGCUGCCUGACGCUGAGGCGCGACAGCGUGGGGAGCGAACCGG
rnacentral:rRNA from 1 species